rnacentral:rRNA from 1 species
GAUUCUCUUCGGAGAAGAGCGGCGGACGGGUGAGUAACGCGUGGGUAACCUGCCCUGUACACACGGAUAACAUACCGAAAGGUAUGCUAAUACGAGAUAAUAUGCUUUUAUCGCAUGGUAGAAGUAUCAAAGCUUUUGCGGUACAGGAUGGACCCGCGUCUGAUUAGCUAGUUGGUAAGGUAACGGCUUACCAAGGCGACGAUCAGUAGCCGACCUGAGAGGGUGAUCGGCCACAUUGGAACUGAGACACGGUCCAAACUCCUACGGGAGGCAGCAGUGGGGAAUAUUGCACAAUGGGCGAAAGCCUGAUGCAGCAACGCCGCGUGAGCGAUGAAGGCCUUCGGGUCGUAAAGCUCUGUCCUCAAGGAAGAUAAUGACGGUACUUGAGGAGGAAGCCCCGGCUAACUACGUGCCAGCAGCCGCGGUAAUACGUAGGGGGCUAGCGUUAUCCGGAAUUACUGGGCGUAAAGGGUGCGUAGGUGGUUUCUUAAGUCAGAGGUGAAAGGCUACGGCUCAACCGUAGUAAGCCUUUGAAACUGGGAAACUUGAGUGCAGGAGAGGAGAGUGGAAUUCCUAGUGUAACGGUGAAAUGCGUAGAUAUUAGGAGGAACACCAGUUGCGAAGGCGGCUCUCUGGACUGUAACUGACACUGAGGCACGAAAGCGUGGGGAGCAAACAGG